ensembl:lncRNA
AAAAACUUGAUAGUCCUGAUCUCAUUCUUAUCAGAAUAAAGCCUGAAGUGCUGGCUACAAUGAAUGUUCUCUGAGGCCAGGGGGAAUGGAUGAUGCCUAGUGCCCUUCAAAGCUUAGUCUACUGAAUUCAGUAAGGUUAUUGCCAUUAACUUUUCUGGAAUCAGGAACUAGAGCCUGUUUUUGUUUACUGCUGAAGUUAAAUCUGAGUAGGGAAUCCAUGCAUUCAGUCAGUCAGUUCAUGGGUACAAAAGCAGGCAGCUUCAGCUGCAUAGCAACUUCCUGUUGGCUGUAAAUCAAGACUGCUGCAGUCAGUUAAAAGCAUAAAAUGGUAUGGUUGGAGGAGGGGAGAGAGGAGGAGGGCUUGGGAGCCUUGCAGCUGUUUUCACAUCCUCUCUCAAGUAGAAUUUCUUCAAUUAAAAGCAAGGAUUUUAUGCAGUGAAACUUGGAAGAAAUCAAGUUGCACAAAUGCUCCCCCCCCCCUCUCCCAGGAGCUGCCAUAAAUUGCAUUAACAGCAAAGGUUCUUAGUUAAAAACACAACUCUCAAAACAAGACAACUACCAGAAUUCAUUCAUUCUGGAGGAUAAAAACAUCAUAUGCACAGAAGAAAUUAUGCCAGUGAAUCAGUGUGUUUGCCCAGGAACGCAAGAAAGAAAAACUGUGUGACAUGCUACAGGUAAAAAAACAUCAGCAUUUCCUAUAUAACAUGCUGAGAGGAAAAAUGAGCUGGAAGGCACAUCUGCAGCCCCAGGUCAAAUUUUCAUCUUAUGCUCAUAAGCUUGAGUGUAUAAGAGCUGAAGUGCUCUUGGAUGAAGUGAGUCUUUUGAACACACCAGUUAAUGAAGAUGUCUUUAGAGAAUAUGGCAUGAUUUACAAACACUGAAGUCCGUAAGGCUGGGUUUAUAAUUCUCAAGCAUACAUCUUCUCCCCCUCCCCCCUUACAAUCCUCUUCCCUGCAUCUUCCUUUCUUCAGCACAGGAAAUGAAGAUAAUUGUUUCUAAGAAAAAAAAAUCAACUUUGAAGAGCACUCUGAAAAUCUCAUACAACCAUGUGACAGGGUUAAAACUGUGAUGGCUUCCUAAAUGGCUGGAAAACUGCUAUGAAAUGGCAUCAUCACCAGAGGGCUUCUGCAUUAAGAAUCCCAAAGCCUAUAACAAGUCACUAAAAAUUGUGCAUCGAAGAUUUCUGUUUUGCUUUUAAAGGUUCAUUAUAAAAAAAAUCUUGUUAAUUGUUUUAAUACCAAGUCUGUAUAAUGAAUUAUUUUAAAUAGCUUAUAACAAAAGUUUGUUUGUUUUUAAAUUCCAAAAUGUUCCAACAGGCAGAAGGGCAACAUAAAAACAUUGCCACACUUGCCUUUUACUCUGAUUUUAGCUGGACGAUGCUGCUUGCUUGGAGUAUACCAGUAGAAAAUUUGCUGUGGACUUAAAAGUAUUUUGUUUAUAAACACUUUGUGUUUUAUAGGCACAGUAAGAUGUUGUGCUGUAUGGAUUAAAAAAAAAAAAAAGAGAUGUAAUUCAGUGCUUCUGUUAUGAAGAGUAACAUUUGCCUUCCAACUAUGUAAAAGUCCAUACUCAUGGAUGUGUGCUAAGACACAACUACUCACACAUGCACUUACACACGUACCCCCACACAUCCUCCCUUACUGUGCAUAUACAGCAUUCUGUAUGUGUA